rnacentral:rRNA from 1 species
UGGGGAAUAUUGGACAAUGGGGGGAACCCUGAUCCAGCGAUGCCGCGUGUGUGAAGAAGGCCUGCGGGUUGUAAAGCACUUUAGUUGGGGAGGAAAGGUAUGUACUGCAUAAGUGCAUGCUGUGACGUUACCCAAAGAAUAAGCACCGGCAAACUCUGUGCCAGCAGCCGCGGUAAUACAGAGGGUGCAAGCGUUAAUCGGAAUUACUGGGCGUAAAGGGUGCGUAGGCGGUUAAAUAAGUUAGAUGUGAAAUCCCCGGGCUUAACCUGGGAAUUGCAUUUAAUACUGUAUGACUAGAGUAGAGUAGAGGGAAGUGGAAUUUCCGGUGUAGCGGUGAAAUGCGUAGAUAUCGGAAAGAACAUCAGUGGCGAAGGUCGGCUUCCUGGACUCAUACUGACGCUGAGGCACGAAAGCAUGGGGAGCAAACAGGAUUAGAUACCCCAGUAGUCCCUGAGCGGGCUGGCAAGGCGCAU